UGGGGAAUUUUGGACAAUGGGCGAAAGCCUGAUCCAGCAAUGCCGCGUGUGUGAAGAAGGCCUUCGGGUUGUAAAGCACUUUUGUCCGGAAAGAAAUCCUUGGCUCUAAUACAGUCGGGGGAUGACGGUACCGGAAGAAUAAGCACCGGCUAACUACGUGCCAGCAGCCGCGGUAAUACGUAGGGUGCAAGCGUUAAUCGGAAUUACUGGGCGUAAAGCGUGCGCAGGCGGUUUGCUAAGACCGAUGUGAAAUCCCCGGGCUCAACCUGGGAACUGCAUUGGUGACUGGCAGGCUAGAGUAUGGCAGAGGGGGGUAGAAUUCCACGUGUAGCAGUGAAAUGCGUAGAGAUGUGGAGGGAUACCGAUGGCGAAGGCAGCCCCCUGGGCCAAUACUGACGCUCAUGCACGAAAGCGUGGGGAGCAAACAGGAUUAGAUACCCUGGUAGUCCACGCCCUAAACGAUGUCAACUAGUUGUUGGGGAUUCAUUUCCUAGUAACGUAGCUAACGCGUGAAGUUGACCGCCUGGGGAGUACGGUCGCAAGAUUAAAACUUAAAUGAAUUGACGGGGUCAUAGCUGUUUCCU
rnacentral:rRNA from 1 species